UUUUCCUUUUCAGAUGAAGAAACUACGCCCAGAGAGGUCUGUGGAAGUCACACAGCAUCAGUGCUAGAGUUGGCAUCCUAGUCCAUGACUAAGUUCUUUCUGCAAUCCUAUGGAGACACAGGGUGUCUCUGUCCAGAGCUGUCUUCCUCCCAGAAGAGCUAACGAGGAAAAAAAGUAACAGAAGGGAGAAUUAAUUAAGCUCUAAUUACAUCGACAGAAAAAAUAGAAGCUACAAUAAAAUUAUUUUGUUUUAAAAAGCUAUUAACAAGGUCUGAGCACAGAGCUUGUUAUAACCUGGGGAAUGAGCCUCAUUUGAAUUUUAUGGCCUUUGCUUUUACAUUUUUUUAUUAAACCUUUUCUUAAAAUCCUCAA